ensembl:snRNA U6 U6 spliceosomal RNA
GUGCUCGCUUUCAGCAGCACAUAUGCUAAAGACUCAGAACGAUACAGAGAAGAUUAGCAUGACCCCCAUGUAGGGAUGAAAUGUAGAUUCAUGAAAUGUUCAAUAUUUAA